rnacentral:rRNA from 1 species
GACGAACGCUGGCGGCGUGCCUAAUACAUGCAAGUAGAACGCUGAAGAGAGGAGCUUGCUCUUCUUGGAUGAGUUGCGAACGGGUGAGUAACGCGUAGGUAACCUGCCUUGUAGCGGGGGAUAACUAUUGGAAACGAUAGCUAAUACCGCAUAACAAUGGAUGACACAUGUCAUUUAUUUGAAAGGGGCAAUUGCUCCACUACAAGAUGGACCUGCGUUGUAUUAGCUAGUAGGUGAGGUAAUGGCUCACCUAGGCGACGAUACAUAGCCGACCUGAGAGGGUGAUCGGCCACCCUGGGACUGAGACACGGCCCAGACUCCUACGGGAGGCAGCAGUAGGGAAUCGUCGGCAAUGGGGGCAACCCUGACCGAGCAACGCCGCGUGAGUGAAGAAGGUUUUCGGAUCGUAAAGCUCGGUUGUAAGUCAAGAACGGGUGUGAGAGUGGAAAGUUCACACUGUGACGGUAGCUUACCAGAAAGGGACGGCUAACUACGUG